AAAUUGAAGAGUUUGAUCAUGGCUCAGAUUGAACGCUGGCGGCAGGCCUAACACAUGCAAGUCGAACGGUAGCACAGAGAGCUUGCUCUCGGGUGACGAGUGGCGGACGGGUGAGUAAUGUCUGGGAAACUGCCUGAUGGAGGGGGAUAACUACUGGAAACGGUGGCUAAUACCGCAUAACGUCGCAAGACCAAAGAGGGGGACCUUCGGGCCUCUUGCCAUCAGAUGUGCCCAGAUGGGAUUAGCUAGUUGGUGAGGUAACGGCUCACCAAGGCGACGAUCCCUAGCUGGUCUGAGAGGAUGACCAGCCACACUGGAACUGAGACACGGUCCAGACUCCUACGGGAGGCAGCAGUGGGGAAUAUUGCACAAUGGGCGCAAGCCUGAUGCAGCCAUGCCGCGUGUAUGAAGAAGGCCUUCGGGUUGUAAAGUACUUUCAGCGGGGAGGAAGGUGUUGUGGUU
rnacentral:rRNA from 1 species